GUUCUUGUAGUUGAACUACAACGGUGGUUUUUCAUAUCAUUGGUCAUGGCUAAAGCCCAUGCAAGAAUU
rnacentral:tRNA from 2 species